UACGUAGGGGGCAAGCGUUGUCCGGAUUUAUUGGGCGUAAAGAGCGUGUAGGCGGCCAUGCAGGUCAGCUGUGAAAACUCGAGGCUCAACCUCGAGACGUCGGUUGAAACCGUAUGGCUAGAGUCCGGAAGAGGAGAGUGGAAUUCCCGGUGUAGCGGUGAAAUGCGCAGAUAUCGGGAAGAACACCCGUGGCGAAGGCGGGUCUCUGGGCCGUUACUGACGCUGAGGAGCGAAAGCGUGGGGAGCGAACAGG
rnacentral:rRNA from 1 species